AUUUAACCUAGGGAAAUAUGAGGAAGUUAAUAAUUUUCAAGCUCUAAGUUGUGAAUAGUAAAAUUUUGCUAUUUGAGGUAAAAACUCUUGAGACAAAUUUUGUUUUAACUUUUGAUUCAAGAAUGUUGUCUAAAUUGUCAUGAAACCAAAAGGAGAAAAUGGCAUGUGUUGUAAUCCAAGGACCCUGUAAAAAAUAGACUCGAAUACAGGACUACAAUCCCCACAAGCCCUUGCUCCACUUCCCCAAGAUGCUUUGUAAUCUCACGGGAAUUCUGAGGUGGGCCGAGAUUGAGGAAGGAUUUAAGCUGGUGGCAAAGGUUUUUUGGCGCCCUCUCUCUCUUUUGGACUUCCGUUUUGGAGCAGAUGCGUCUCUUCCGUCUCUUCCAUCUCUUCCGUGAUGUGAGGUUAUCUGGCCUAGGGUGCUGGGGACAUCUAUGGAGUCGCAAUAGGGGACAGUUUAGAGAACUAUCGGGGGACAGCUUAGAGCUGUUGGAGAACAACUACAGAGUCACAAGAAAGAAAGACUGGAACAUCAUCAAAACAAGGAUAAUGAAUGUUUAUAGUAUGCAGCACACAAGAUUUAAAGCUCUUCUCGAGAGACACAAUCUGUCCUCCCCAAUCCUGCCCAGAAUGUGAACAGGGGGGUUGACCCAUUCUCAGGAUUUCUUGGAACUGUUCAUGCAGCCUUGAACUGAGAUUUCUAUGUUUUGGAGUACUCAGCAGGAACGGCAUGUCACAAACACCUGGGAAGAGGAACUCUAUUUCCAUGAGGUCAUGAAAGGUUCACUGCAAUUCCCCCUUUUUGUUUAUGCCAUACAACUCCCUUUGGUACAGGAUCCCAUUAAUAGAUUUUUGCAAUAGAGCAAAACUAGUCAUAAAAGCUUUUAGUAAACAAGGAAAAUAUAAGCAGAUAAACAAAAUCAUCACAAAUGCACCAGAAGAGUAAUAUCAUGAAAUAAGGAGUAAAACAAUCCUUUUCUUGUUUCAAUCCAAUUAUACAAAGAAUCUGCAAUAUGCUGUGGUUCAAGGUCCUCCUGUAAGGAUGAAUCAAUAUUCUGUAUUAAUAUACUGAGAUCAUCAAUAUCAUCAGUGAUGUUUUCAUGGUCCCAUAAUCCCUGUAAUUGUCAUUUUAUUUUUUCCAAUGUUUUUGUAUCAUUAUUUACUGUUAUGGGUAGCAAGCAAAAUGCAGUAUAUCUAUAAUCACAUUUCAUGCAUGUUUUCAAUGACAAAUAUGCUACUUCAUUUGUUAGAUCAAUCAUAUUUUUCUGUAACAUCAUAAUACUUUUGUAAAAACUUAUAUCAAUUUCUUUUUGUCUUUCUAAUGCUGAGGUUAUAGUAGCAGCCAAUGCUUUCAAAUGAUUGACACCAUGUUCAAGAGUAUGUAAGUUAGAAACUGAUUGUGCCAAAGAUACAGAACCUAUUAUAGUAGAAGCCAAUGCAGAAACUAAUGCUACUAUGCCUAAUGCAAUACAAGUAAUACACCGUUUACGUCAUGGUCUUAUUUUUUGUUGUAUUACAUGGAGAAUUUGAUCCUCUGGACUACCAUACCAUGAAUCUGUAUGUUCAGUGGCAAAAAGGGCCGUGCGUGGUCACUUGAUGAUUAAGAGCAGCCCAUCCACUCAUGAUCCUACUCAGU
rnacentral:lncRNA from 1 species